GCCUUCUUAGCUUAGUUGGUAGAGCACCCGCUAAGUAAGCGGGAGGUCGUCGGUUCGAUUCCGGGCCGGAGUCUCCGGCAGAAAGCU
rnacentral:tRNA from 1 species